rnacentral:rRNA from 1 species
GACGAACGCUGGCGGCGUGCCUAAUACAUGCUAGUAGAACGCUGAAGGAGGAGCUUGCUUCUCUGGAUGAGUUGCGAACGGGUGAGUAACGCGUAGGUAACCUGCCUGGUAGCGGGGGAUAACUAUUGGAAACGAUAGCUAAUACCGCAUAACAGUAGAUGUUGCAUGACAUUUGCUUAAAAGGUGCAAUUGCAUCACUACCAGAUGGACCUGCGUUGUAUUAGCUAGUUGGUGGGGUAACGGCUCACCAAGGCGACGAUACAUAGCCGACCUGAGAGGGUGAUCGGCCACACUGGGACUGAGACACGGCCCAGACUCCUACGGGAGGCAGCAGUAGGGAAUCUUCGGCAAUGGACGGAAGUCUGACCGAGCAACGCCGCGUGAGUGAAGGAGGUUUUCGGAUCGUAAAGCUCUGUUGUAAGAGAAGAACGAGUGUGAGAGUGGAAAGUUCACACUGUGACGGUAUCUACCAGAAA